rnacentral:rRNA from 1 species
CCCUUAGAUGUUCUGGGCGGCCCGCGCACUACAAUGGCGCUUUCAGCGAGUUCCUAUGUUGAAUUUUCCUGGGUAUUCUUGGAAGCGGCGUCUUGACUUGGGAUAGAUCCUUGUAAUUGUUGGUUUUGAACGAGGAAUUCCUUGUAAUCGCGGUUGAUCAGCUCGCGUUGAAUACGUCCCUGCCCUUUGUACACACCGCCCGUCGCUCCUACCAAUGAAUCGUCCGGUGAAGUUCACAGAGUGGCGGUUCGUGGAGUUGCUCGCGAAGUGAAAUGGACCUCACGAUUUAGAGGAAGGAGAAGUCGUAACA